GCCGGCCCAGGGGAGGCAUCGUGGUGACGUAGGCUCCGGACGUAGCAAGGACCUGGGUCCUGGCACCCGCGCGGCUCUGCCUCUUCCAGCCAGUCUCUUUCCCUCUCUGGGCCUUUGUGCUGCGUGGUGUCCAAAUGUUAAGAAGCCCUGCCCCAUGCCCGGGCUACAUAUACAUCGAACCCAAGCUGUAAAUGCUCUUGAGUAGAAGCAACUUAAACUAGCCUUCGGGGGCAAGUAAUAGAGAUGGCUUUCGGCAGAGUUGGGAAAUCAACUAAAUGCAUUGUAGGGCCUUUCCAACAUUGACAUCUGUGGCCAUUAGUUGCAGUUCAAAGCCUCACUGAGCCCUCAAACCAGCUACAGCGGGUAGCCUGGCAGGGAACUGGCAGCUGUGAGGUGCUCCUCAUCCGGCUCCCUGCAGGAUUCUUUUUGGUAGGAGCCUGCAGGCGUCCGAGUGGUAGCUCCACCCAUCUCCGGUCUCCCCAGCAAGCAUCCCUUCCAGUGCUAGCUUGAGAAGAGGAAAAGCUUGCCACCUGCUGUCAGACCGGCGCUUGUGUGGAGCCAGGGGCUGUAGGUACCCCGGCUGAGUAGCCUCUCAGAUGUCCAUGGUCCUGGCUGCACGCCAGCGUGGGGGCAGGCAGGCGGACGCUCAAGAAAAACGGAGGCACCGAUAUGAGUAGUAAUUGAGAACGAGGGUUCAUGAUCCUCAUCUGAUUUCAAUCCCUGCUCCUCCACCCAAAAUGUGUGGCCUUGAAGGAGUUAACCAAUUUAAAUUUUAGUUUCCUCAGUGGAAGAUAAUAAAUCCGCCUACCUCAUAAAGGUUUGGUGAGAAUUAACUCAGGUGAUGCAUGUGAAGUCCUCAGCGCAAUACCUGGCGCUUCCUAAGUGCUGAAUCGGUUAGCCGUGAUCAUCUCACAGUGGCAUGAGCAUUGCUCCAAGUAGAUUUGAGCCCUCCAGAAAUAAGCCAGCUCUAUAUAGGCACAGCAGUUCUGCCCUCGCAGAGCUUCUCGUUCAGAUAAGAGGCCUGAUGGGAAACCAGACUCCUGGGUCCUGUCUCAGUUCUGGAAGGGUGGGGGGCCAGCUUUGAUUUAUGCCUGCUGCCCUGGCAUAAUUACUAAUAUUGCCUCCUUUUUCAGAAGUGCCCUGCUUUGGGCCGGGCGUGGUGGCUCACCCCGGUAAUCCCAGCACUUUGGGAGGCCGACGCAGGUGGACCACCUGAGGUCAG
rnacentral:lncRNA from 1 species